GCCAUCUUAGCUCAGUUGGUAGAGCACAUCCAUGGUAAGGAUGAGGUCUUGGGUUCAAUUCCCAAAGAUGGCU
rnacentral:tRNA from 1 species